AAUACUAGCCCAAUUGUCAACAACAGAGAGCAGAGAAAAUCUCAGAGCAUGUCUUUUUCUUUUCUUCCUUUUUUUUUCUUUUUUUAGUGCAAGGUGGAGGUGAGGUGAAGGACUGCUGGUAUAUUUUUAUAUUGCCUUCUUGACUACCCUUCUGAUGCUCAGGAACAACCUGUCUUCUGUGUAUUAGCUGUGAAAGCUCAGAAGAACUUCCUAGACAGGAACAUGUGAGGACGCAGUCUUUUGUGAGCCAGUCAAGUGGAGACAGUUAUGGGAAAAUGCAGGACAUCAGGAUGCAGUUGCACAAAUGCUGUAAGCUGGACGUCACUGAAAGAAGAGUGUGGUUUCUGUUUGGUUAACGGCGUGUGAAUGAACAAAGACUUCAGCCACUGGAGAUGAGAUGGCAAAAUAGAAACAAGGAUACACAGCAAUUGGUAGAGAAAGAGUGAACCAAUGUGUCAGUGGCAUGGGUGUACAGAGGUUGAGAAGAUGCAAACAGAUGCCUUGGUUGAGCCCAUCUAUCAGAUUCUAUACUCAGUUGAAAAUUAUGUCUAAGUGGGAGUCAAAUGCUGACACCAGAAAGCAGACAAUUGCAUCUUGGUGGUAUUCUACAUUUAUGAGUCUCUCUUGUGCCUGGCCAAAGCACGUCUGGAAAAGGAAAGAACUUGUAAGAGAUUCUGCCUGCAAAGCUCCACAUGGAACGGAGCUGAUACGAAUCAAGCUUGCUUUUUUAGUACAUCUAUCUGCAAAUAGCUACAGUGUAGUACAAACAGACAUAAUAAUCCAGAUUAUUUUGGAAGAUUGAUUAAUGGGAACAUUAGUCAUAUACUCAGUGCAUGACAUUUCCUAUUAGUUGUUAUAUCAUUUGAGAGUUAAAGGAUAUAAAUACUUAGGAACUUCCCAGCAGUUGGGUUGCCACCUGUCUGCUGAACACAUUAAAGGCGGAAAAGUGUGAGUUGUAUUCCAUUUAAGAAUGCCGUAGCUAUCUGUGGGACUCUGAAUAACAUUUCUGACACUGUCAGGGGAAAAUUUUCCAUAGCAGUCUCAACUCAGAUUCAGCAAUAGGGUCUUUUCUCCCUGACAUAGCUAGAAAUUUAAAGGAUGUUAACAAAGGCAGAGGUAGUAGGGCUGAUGCUUCUUGCAAUAGGACAAGUAAUUAGAGAGCUAAGGACUAUAUAUAUGGAACCAAAGUGAACACUUAGCAAACAGCUGUCAAUCUUUGUAUAGAUUCAUUGCUUCCUCGGUUAGUAUU